rnacentral:rRNA from 1 species
GACGUAGGGCGCGAGCGUUGUCCGGAUUUAUUGGGCGUAAAGAGCUCGUAGGCGGUUGGGUAAGUCGGGUGUGAAAGCUCCAGGCUCAACUUGGAGAUGCCACCCGAUACUGCUCUGACUUGAGUUCGGUAGGGGAGUGGGGAAUUCCUGGUGUAGCGGUGAAAUGCGCAGAUAUCAGGAGGAACACCGGUGGCGAAAGGCGCCACUCUGGGCCGAAACUGACGCUGAGGAGCGAAAGCGUGGGUAGCAAACAGG